rnacentral:misc_RNA from 1 species
CGCCAUUGGAAUCAAAAUGCCAUCUUCCAUCACUUUGACUGAGAGCCUUAAUGGAGUGAAAUACACCCUCAGCAUCAGACAGGACGACACUAGAACCUUGAGCCUUGAUAUGAACCAGACCUCCAACAGAAUAAUAAAGGUUCAUCAACGACGUUGCAUCUUUCGCAAUAGCUUGAAGCCUCGACGAGAUGUCCUCAACAAUCCCGGCAUCAAUCUGGCACACCAAAAUGCUAUUGACUCUCAAAGCAUCAAACAACUCCUUCGGUGUUG